CCCAGCAGCUCAUGUGUUAGCACCGCAAUGAUGAUUUAAAACUAGUCUACAGUUUUGACACUUUGACACUCCCUUCAAAGGAAGCCUAAUUAUCCGGUCCUUGAAUUGUGGGCUGGACUUAAGUCACUAGAGCCUAGAAAAAAAGUGGAAAUGACAGUACACAACUUCGGAGAGCGGACCAUAAAAGGCACUUGCCUCUUUCUUUCUCAUCAUUCACUCUGGUGGAAGCCGUCUGCCUCAGAAAGGACCUCCUGGUGAGGAACCGAGGCCUCCUGCCCGCGGCCGUGGGAGUGCGCCAUCUUGGAAAUGCAUCCUCUGGCCCCAGUCAAGACUUCAGAGGAGUGUGGCCCUAACUGACCUCUCCCUACAAACUCAUGAGAGACCCUGAGCCAGAACCGCCCAUCUAGGCCUCUUCUAAUUCCUGACCCUCAACCAUGUGGAGUGAUUUGUUGCACAAUAGUUGGGGAGGCUCUUGGAAGAACAGACGUUGGACUCUUGGGAUUCAUGAAGUCGCGUAUGUGUCCAGAUGGGCUUUUCCCUUCACCGUACCCCAUGCGCACCAAAGUCUGUUCCACCCCUGCUUCUGAGGCACUUGGCUCAUCUCCCUGGAUCUGCUUCCUCCCAUCACAGUAUCAAGAUGGGUGCCAUUAACAGCCCCCAGGAAUCAAACAGCAAGCAUCAUCUGCACAACCUGAGAACAGCCAAACUGGCGGGAAUCAAACUGCAACUUUCCACGAAAACCUAAUUGGCACAUUUAAAGCCAAUUCAAAAACUUCCACGUCGGCUUUAGGGCCUCAAGAGUUCGGUCCUCAAGUCGGUCUUCCCCUCUUCCAACUUUCCCUUUAAAAACGCGCAAACGGCCUAUUCUCCGCCCCAGAGAGCGCGGAGGCCGCAUAUGUUACACAAAGUAUGGGUUUUGACCCAAACCGCUGGUCUCUAUGGGGUACGUUCUGCAUUAAAAGCACGUGCGAACUCCAGUCCGAGGGGUGUCACUUCC